rnacentral:rRNA from 1 species
AUUGAACGCUGGCGGCAUGCUUUACACAUGCAAGUCGAACGGCAGCGCGGGGCAACCUGGCGGCGAGUGGCGGACGGGCGAGUAAUAUAUCGGAACGUACCCAGAAGUGGGGGAUAACGUAGCGAAAGGUACGCUAAUACCGCAUACGAUCUACGGUCGAACGUCGUGGACCGCAAGGCCUUAUUCCUUUGGAGCGGCCGAUAUCUGAUUAGCUAGUUGGUGAGGUAAAGGCUCACCAAGGCGACGAUCAGUAGCUGGUCUGAGAGGACGACCAGCCACACUGGAACUGAGACACGGUCCAGACUCCUACGGGAGGCAGCAGUGGGGAAUUUUGGACAAUGGGCGCAAGCCUGAUCCAGCAAUGCCGAGUGAGUGAAGAAGGCCUUCGGGUUGUAAAGCUCUUUUGUCAGGGAAGAAACGGUAGAGGCUAAUAUCCUUUGCUAAUGACGGUACCUGAAGAAUAAGCACCGGCUAACUACGUG